rnacentral:rRNA from 1 species
UACGAAGGGGGCUAGCGUUGCUCGGAAUUACUGGGCGUAAAGCGCACGUAGGCGGUCUUUUAAGUCGGGGGUGAAAUCCUGGAGCUCAACUCCAGAACUGCCUUCGAUACUGGAAGACUUGAGUCCGGGAGAGGUGAGUGGAACUGCGAGUGUAGAGGUGAAAUUCGUAGAUAUUCGCAAGAACACCAGUGGCGAAGGCGGCUCACUGGCCCGGUACUGACGCUGAGGUGCGAAAGCGUGGGGAGCAACAGA